UCUGGAAUUCUCUAGCUCAGGCCACAUACUGAAUGAACACGGUGGGCUUCUGGUGUCUGAUUAGGUUUUGACGAGUACUGGGGUGUAAUCCCUGGGGGAAUAUUUACAAGUAGAGGGAGAAGGGAGAACCCUCACCCCAACAGAGGUCAGAGACCCCUCACCCCAACAGAGGUCAGAGACCCCUCACCCCAACAGAGGUCAGAAACUCCCUCACCCCAACAGAGGUCAGAAACUCCCUCACCCCAACAGAGGUCAGAAACCCCCUCACCCCAACAGAGGUCAGAAACUCCCUCACCCCAGAGGUCAGAGACCCCCUCACCCCAACAGAGGUCAGAAACCCCCUCACCCCAACAGAGGUCAGAAACUCCCUCACCCCAGAGGUCAGAAACUCCCUCACCCCAACAGAGGUCAGAGACCCCCUCACCCCAACAGAGGUUAAAGGUCAGAAACCCCCUCACCCCAACAGAGGUCAGAAACCCC